AAAAUUACUACUCGAAGUGAGAAAAACUAUUGAUACUGGGACACUUAUAGACCUCAUAGCAUCAGGUUUACCAAACUAUGUGGUUGAUAAAAUUGAUAGAGAAGCUGUACAAGAAACUGAAGAUUUCUACAAUGAAAUAGGGAAACUGGAACAUCUAGUUGCGAAGAAUAAAUAUGAAAAGAAAAAUUAUGCACAUUCUGACACUAAGCCAAAAAAGUUGAAGAGAAAACCAUGCCAAAUCUGUAUCAAUGAGAAAAAGGGAAACGUUACCAUCCUGAAGAAAAUUGCUGGUUUAAUGGAAAAAAUCAAAAGCAGUAGUGAAAAGUGUAAAUAACUCUGAAUUGGAAAUUGAAUUAAAUGAGAAGAAUCCAAAACUAGAGGUGCCACCAUUAAUAAAAAUAGAGUUGCUAUUAAAUGACACUUUAACAGUUUUGGAAUUUAUGACUCUGGUUCAAAUGUGUCAUUAAUAAAUGCUAAAUUGCUAAAAAUCCAACAAAAAGAAGUUCCAAGUGAUUUACAAAUAGUAAACUUGAAAACUAUUAAUGGUGAGAAAAACAAAAGGUAUGGUCACAGUUAAGGUAAAAAUAUACAACACUGAACAUGAAAUGGAGGUUUUGUUGUUGAAAAUGAAAAUUUUAAUUAUGACUUCCUGAUUGGCUUAGAUUGCAUAAAAAUUUAGAUUAACUCAAGAUGAACAAUUACAGAUAAAAUGUGCUGAUUCACUUGAUAAUAAGAAGACCAUAAAUAAAGAGGUUAUAAAAACUUUGAAAUAAACUUCAAUGAACAUAUUAACUGGGAAAAAUUUGAAAUGUAUGUAAACCAUUUAGAUUUAUAUCAACAAUCAGAAAUUGAUAAGUUGACUACAAAAUACAGUCAAAUUUUCGCAAAAGAUAAAUAUGAUGUUGGCAGUGUACGAAAUUAUGAAGCACACAUUGACUUGAUGGUGGAUAAAUACUGCUAUAAACGUCCCUAUAGAUGCACAGCGGAAGACAGAAAAGAAACUGAAAAUCAGAUAUCAAAACUUUUAAAAAUAAAUUGAUUGAAGAAUCAUAUAGCCCAUUUGCUGCGCCAGUUACUCUUGCAUAUAAAAAGAAGAUAAGAAAAAACAAGAUUGUGUAUUGACUUCAGAGAAUUGAAUAAAAUAGUGGUCCCUCAAUCACAACCUUUUCCAUUAAUUGAAGACCUUAUGAUAAAGACUGUAAACUGUAAGUACUUUUCUACAUUUGAUAUAAAUUCAGCAUUUUGGUCAAUUCCUUUGAAAAUUCAAGAUAGACAUAAAACUGCAUUCGUAACACAAGAAGGCCACUUCCAAUGGACUUGCCUCCCAUUUGGAUUGAAGACUGCGCCAGCCAUCUUCCAAAGAAUAUUGAGCAACAUCAUAAGAAAAUAUAAACUUUCUGGAUUUGCGAUAAAUUUCAUAGAUGAUGUCCUCAUAUUUUCAAAAACAUUUGAUGACCAUAUAGCACACAUAUCAAGACUUCUGGAAGCAAUACAAACAGAAGGUUUCAGACUGAAAUUUUCGAAAUGUACUUUUGCAAAACAUUAUGCCACAUAUUUAGGUCAUACAAUUGAAAACAAUUCAGUCAGCCCUCUGAAAGAUUAUCUAACAGCUGUCAAAAAUUUUCCUGUUCCAGAAACAAGAAAAAUAUUCGUCAAUUUCUAGGAAAAAUAAAUUUUCAUCAUAAGUUUGUCCCACACAGUGCAAUCAUCUUGAAUCCAUUACACAAUUUAUUGAGGAAAGAUGUCAAAUUCGUGUGGUCUGCAGAAUGUCAAGAAACAUUUGACAAAAUAAAAAAUUACUAUGUUCAAAACCAAUUCUAAAAUUUUUGAUCCAGAACUACCAAUAGACAUUUACACAGACGCCAGUAUCAAAGGAGUGGGAGCAGUAUUGAAACAGAAAGACACAAAUGGAAAAAGUAAGCCAGUUGCAUAUUUUUCAAAAAGUUAACUGAAUCUCAAAAAAGAAAAGGCAAUAUACCUAGAAUGUCUAGCAGUAAAGGAAGCUCUGAAAUACUGGCAACAUUGGCUUAUGGGAAGAGAAUUUACGGUUUAUUCUGAUCAUAAACCACUAGAAAAUAUGAACAUCAAGGCUAGAACUGACGAGGAACUAGGUGAUUUGAUGUAUUACUUAUCGCAAUAUAAUUUUAAACUUAAAUAUAACCCCGGAAAAACAAAUCAAGAAGCUGACUGCUUAAGCAGAAAUCCAGUCCUGGAAUCUUAUGACAAUACGGAUGAUUUUCUAAAAGUAGUAAAUUUAAUAAGCUUGGAAGACAUAAAAAAGACCAGCGCACAAAUCUUGACCUGGAAAAUAGCAAAAUAAAACUAACAUUAGAGAAUGAGAUUUAUUACAAAAGAAUACUAGAAAGAAAAAAAUUAUACUAUCAGAAGAACUUAGCAAAAAUUUAAUAAAAGAUGUCCACAAUACUUACUGUCAUAUUGGAAGAACUCAGAUGAUAAAUAAAAUAACACCAUUCUACACAGCAAGGAAUAUUAUUGCAAACAUUAAACGAACCUGUGAUGACUGUGAAAUUUGUAUAAAAACAAAUCAAGGAGGAAGUCAAAGUAUGGUUUAAUGUCACAUUUAGGUCCAGCAACACGACCAUUUGAAAUUGUAUCCAUCGACACCAUUGGAGGCUUUGGAGGAUCAAGAUCAACUAAAAAUAUUUACAUCUUCUGGUUGACCACUUCACAAGGUAUGCAUAUAUUCUUACGUCUAAAACCAAAGCUCCAGUGAUUUCAUUAAACUAAUAAAAUUGUAACACAAAGUUACAAUAUUGAUAUGGUAUUAACCGACCAAUACCGGGUAUAAAUUCUAAAGAAUUUAAACAAUUUCUGUAUAAAGAAAACAUAAGAAUAGUUUUCACUGCUGUUGAUGCACCAUUUUCAAAUGGACUCAAUGAGAGACUAAAUCAAACAAUAGUCAACAAGAUACGAUGUAAAACAAAUGAGAGUGUGAAGAAAACAGCAUGGACAACGGUUGCACAGGAAUGUGUGAGAAAAUAUAACGAAACUGAACACACUGUCACGAAAUUUUCUCCAAAGUACCUUUUGGAAGGAGAAAAUACAAAUAUUUUACCACUUGAAUUGAAAUUAAGAAAUUCAAAAGAAGAUCUGAGGAAGGACAGAAAAUUGGCCUUUGAAAACACACUAAAAUCCCAUAAUUAUAAUAAAAAAUAUUUGACAGACAUAGAGAAGAGUGUAAAUUGGAAGUGGGAGACUGGGUCUAUGUUGAAAAUGGAAAUAGGCUGAACAGGAAGAAGAUGGAUGAACUACGGAUUGGACCAUAUAAAAUUCUGAAAAAGAUUUCCAAUUCCAUUUAUGAGGUUGAUACUGGCCACAAGAAAGCAGAAUCAAAUCUUUAUCAUACAACGAAGCUGUCUCCAGUACAAGUUAGUUAAUGAACAAUUACGCGCGUGCCCACUUGUAAUUGUCUCUGUAAGGGAGAUGUAAAGAAAACCAUCACAUUCAUAUGCCUAAUUUGAAAUUGCCGCUUUUCUUAAUUUUGAAUUUCGCGCGUCUCGCGCUUCUAUAUUUAAUAGAUGAAUUUUGAAUGUCAUCACCGAGAGGACGACAUUUGGAAUUUACAAGUUGGUUGCAUCAUUAAUAUUUUAUAAGUUAAUACGUUUCUUAAAAGGGAUAUCAAUACCUGAAAUAAGGGCAUUAAAUGUUGUUUCUUUUGUUUUCACAGAGAACACAACUUGGGUCUUUAUUUCAUUACACCUCAACGUUUAAUCCAAUUAUAAGGAAAGGAGCAUUAUA